AUCUCUUCGCAACCGUCUAAUAUCCUCUAUAUAUUAAACUGAUUUUUGGACUUAGGCCAUGGGAUGAAGCUUGCUUCACCCUGGACACAGGUUGUCUUGGUAUUGCACUACAUCCGAGUACAGCCGCUUCCCA